UUGAAAUACCAAUUCCCGUACGAUCACCGAAGUUAAGCAACGUCGAGCGUUGUCAGUACCUAGAUGGGUGACCGUUUGUGAAUAUUAGGCGCUGUAAU